rnacentral:rRNA from 1 species
GGCGGAGCCUAUACAUGCAGUCGAACGAAGUCUUCGGACUUAGUGGCGAACGGGUGCGUAACGCGUGGGAACCUGCCCUUAGGUUCGGAAUAACGGUUAGAAAUGACUACUAAUGCCGGAUAAUGUCUUCGGACCAAAGAUUUAUCGCCUUUGGAUGGGCCCGCGUAGGAUUAGGUAGUUGGUGAGGUAAAGGCUCACCAAGCCGACGAUCCUUAGCUGGUCUGAGAGGAUGAUCAGCCACACUGGGACUGAGACACGGCCCAGACUCCUACGGGAGGCAGCAGUAGGGAAUAUUGGACAAUGGGCGAAAGCCUGAUCCAGCAAUGCCGCGUGAGUGAUGAAGGCCUUAGGGUUGUAAAGCUCUUUUACCAGGGAUGAUAAUGACAGUACCUGGAGAAUAAGCUCCGGCUAACUCCGUGCCAGCAGCCGCGGUAA